rnacentral:rRNA from 1 species
AUACGGAGGGGACUAGCGUUGUUCGGAAUUACUGGGCGUAAAGAGUUCGUAGGCGGACUGAAAAGUAAGAGGUGAAAUCCCAGGGCUCAACCCUGGAACUGCCUUUUAAACUGUCAGUCUAGAGACCGGAAGAGGUUAGGGGAAUACCUAGUGUAGAGGUGAAAUUCGUAGAUAUUAGGUGGAACACCAGUGGCGAAGGCGCCUAACUGGUCCGGUACUGACGCUGAGGAACGAAAGCGUGGGGAGCAAACAGGAUUAGAAACCCCAGUAGUCC